ACGCUCGACACCUACAGGAGGCAGCAGUGGGGGAUAUUGCGCAAUGGGGGAAACCCUGACGCAGCAACGCCGCGUGAAGGACGAAGGUUUUCGGAUUGUAAACUUCUUUUGUUAGGGACGAAGAAAUGACGGUACCUGACGAAUAAGCUCCGGCUAACUACGUGCCAGCAGCCGUGGUAAUCUGAGCGGGCUGGCAAGGC
rnacentral:rRNA from 1 species